AGUUUGAUCAUGGCUCAAAUUGAACGCUGGCGGAAUGCUUUACACAUGCAAGUCGAACGGCAGCACGGAGAGCUUGCUCUCUGGUGGCGAGUGGCGAACGGGUGAGUAAUAUAUCGGAACGUGUCCAAUAAUGGGGGAUAACGAGUCGAAAGAUUUGCUAAUACCGCAUACGCCCUACGGGGGAAAGCAGGGGAUCGUAAGACCUUGCGUUAAUGGAGCGGCCGAUAUCUGAUUAGCUUGUUGGUGAGGUAAAGGCUCACCAAGGCGACGAUCAGUAGCUGGUUUGAGAGAACGACCAGCCACACUGGAACUGAGACACGGUCCAGACUCCUACGGGAGGCAGCAGUGGGGAAUUUUGGACAAUGGGGGCAACCCUGAUCCAGCCAUUCCGCGUGAGUGAAGAAGGCCUUCGGGUUGUAAAGCUCUUUCGCAAGGGAAGAAAACUUAUGAUCGAAUAAAUCAUGAGGUUGACGGUACCUUGAUAAGAAGCACCGGCUAUCUACGUGCCAGCAGCCGCGGUAAUACGUAGGGUGCGAGCGUUAAUCGGAAUUACUGGGCGUAAAGCGUGCGCAGGCGGUUUUGUAAGUCGGAUGUGAAAUCCCCGGGCUCACCUGGGAACUGCGUUCGAAACUGCAAGGCUAGAGUGUGUCA
rnacentral:rRNA from 1 species